rnacentral:rRNA from 1 species
AUACGUAGGUGACAAGCGUUAUCCGGAUUUACUGGGCGUAAAGGGCGUGUAGGCGGUCUUGCAAGUCAGGAGUGAAAUUCCUGAGCUCAACUCGGGCGCUGCUUCUGAAACUGCAGGACUUGAGUGCUGGAGGGGAUAGCGGAAUUCCUAGUGGAGCGGUAAAAUGCGCAGAUAUUAGGAAGAACACCGGUGGCGAAGGCGGCUAUCUGGACAGUAACUGACGCUGAGGCACGAAAGCGUGGGGAGCAAACAGGAUUAGAUACCCUGGUAGUCCACGCUAUAAACGAUGAGUGCUAGGUGUCGGGGGUCAAACCUCGGUGCCGCAGUUAACACAUUAAGCACUCCGCCUGGGGAGUACGGCCGCAAGGCUGAAACUCAAAGGAAUUGGCGGGG